UACGAAGGGGGCGAGCGUUGUUCGGAAUUACUGGGCGUAAAGGGCGCGUAGGCGGCUCCCUUUUGUCGCGUGUGAAAGCCCCGGGCUCAACCUGGGAACGGCGCGCGAAACGGGGGGGGCUUGAGUUCGGGAGAGGAGAGUGGAAUUCCCAGUGUAGAGGUGAAAUUCGUAGAUAUUGGGAAGAACACCGGGUGGCGAAGGCGGCUCUCGUGGACCGAGACUGACGCUGAGGCGCGGAAAGCGUGGGGAGCAAACAGG
rnacentral:rRNA from 1 species